rnacentral:rRNA from 1 species
UACUUUGUAAACUUGUACUCUAAUUAAUGUCAAGCUAAGACUUAAAUUAAAAACUUUAUAUUUUAGGGUGAAAUCAGAAAUAGUUAUUUUUUUAGUCUUAGUUUUUAAAAUUUGGUGAACAAGCCGGAUUAGUACCCGGUUAGACUAAAGUUAAAAGAUCAGGAGUAAAGUAGUGUUUAAACUGUAAGAAUAUUGGCAGGUUUUUAAAUUAUCUUUGGAGGCUGAGUAGUAAUUGAGAGCCCUCAUUAACAACUUUUAUUAUUUGGCGCAUGUAUGAUCGUUUAUUUUAUUCUUAGGGAUUGUAAAAUUAGUUUUAUUGCUGUAAAAAUAGAUAGAUAUCUGGUUAAUAUAAGAGAUUUAAUUUGGCCUACAAUAAAUAAUUUUUGUGGAUUUUAGGUGUAGUGUCUAAAUGAAAAUGUAAAAGACAGUAAGUUUCUUUUUAUAGGAAGCUGAAGUUUAUUUAAAAAC